rnacentral:rRNA from 1 species
UAAAAAAAGGUAAGCUACUAAGAGCGAAUGGUGGAUGCCUUGACUGGUAAAGGCGAUGAAGGACGUACUAGACUGCGAUAAGCUACGGGGAGCUGUCAAGAAGCUUUGAUCCGUAGAUUUCCGAAUGGGGCAACCCAAUGUAUAGAGAUAUACAUUACCUAUAUAGGAGCGAACGAGGGGAAUUGAAACAUCUUAGUACCCUCAGGAAAAGAAAUCAAUAGAGAUUGCGUCAGUAGCGGCGAGCGAAAGCGCAAGAGGGCAAACCCAGUGCUUGCACUGGGGGUUGUAGGACUGCAAUGUGCAAGAGGUGAGUUUAGCAGAACAUUCUGGAAAGUAUAGCCAUAGAGGGUGAUAGUCCCGUAUGCGAAAAACAAACCUUAGCUAGCAGUAUCCUGAGUAGGGCGGGACACGAGGAAUCCUGUCUGAAUCCGGGUCGACCACGAUCCAACCCUAAAUACUAAUACCAGAUCGAUAGUGCACAAGUACCGUGAGGGAAAGGUGAAAAGAACUGAGGUGAUCAGAGUGAAAUAGAACCUGAAACCAUUUGCUUACAAUCAUUCAGAGCCCUAUGUAGCAAUACAGGGUGAUGGACUGCCUUUUGCAUAAUGAGCCUGCGAGUUGUGGUGUCUGGCAAGGUUAAGCAAACGCGAAGCCGUAGCGAAAGCGAGUCUGAAUAGGGCGCUUAGUCAGAUGCUGCAGACCCGAAACGAAGUGAUCUAUCCAUGAGCAAGUUGAAGCUAGUGUAAGAACUAGUGGAGGACUGAACCCAUAGGCGUUGAAAAGCCCCGGGAUGACUUGUGGAUAGGGGUGAAAGGCCAAUCAAACUUCGUGAUAGCUGGUUCUCUCCGAAAUAUAUUUAGGUAUAGCGUUGUGUCGUAAUAUAAGGGGGUAGAGCACUGAAUGGGCUAGGGCAUACACCAAUGUACCAAACCCUAUCAAACUCCGAAUACCUUAUAUGUAAUCACAGCAGUCAGGCGGCGAGUGAUAAAAUCCGUCGUCAAGAGGGAAACAACCCAGACUACCAGCUAAGGUCCCUAAAUCUUACUUAAGUGGAAAACGAUGUGAAGUUACUUAAACAACCAGGAGGUUGGCUUAGAAGCAGCCAUCCUUUAAAGAAAGCGUAAUAGCUCACUGGUCUAGUGAUUUUGCGCGGAAAAUAUAACGGGGCUAAAGUAAGUACCGAAGCUGUAGACUU